rnacentral:lncRNA from 1 species
UACCCACUGGGAACCAUGGAGUUGGUUCUCACUCCACGUGGUUUUGGGGUGUUUUCAGGUCGUUCGUGUGCGGCGCGGCGGCGCGAGGCGAGGGCGUAGCUCAGUAGAUAGCGCCCCACCACAGAGACCGAGGUAGCAGUACCCUGAGACAGUCUAGCUUAGGGGUGUAGAAGAUAAGAAGAGAAAAUGUAUCAAACUUGUAAACUCUGAUGUAAUAAUAAGAUUGUAAUUUGGAAGUAAAAAUGUAAACUGAAACUGUGAUGUAAAGAGUGGUUGUAAAAUGAAUGCUUGUAAUAGCAAGUAGAUUAUGUAUUUGAUACUUCCUUAUG